GGCGGCAAGCCUCAUACAUGCAAGUCGAACGAGAAAGCAUCUUCGGAUGUGAGUAAAGUGGCGGACGGGUGAGUAAUACAUAGGAAUCUACCCAAUGGCGGGGGACAGCUCGAGGAAACUCGAAUUAAUACCGCAUAAUCUCUACGGAGUAAAGAGGGCUUCGGCUCUCACCAUCGGAUGAGCCUAUGCAAGAUUAGCUUGUUGGUAAGGUAAUGGCUUACCAAGGCUACGAUCUUUAGCUGGUUUGAGAGGAUGACCAGCCACAUCGGGACUGAGACACGGCCCGGACUUCUACGGAAGGCAGCAGUAGGGAAUAUUGGACAAUGAGCGAAAGCUUGAUCCAGCUAUGCCGCGUGUGCGAUGACGGCCCUCGGGUUGUAAAGCACUUUAGGUAACGAGGAAAAGUUAAGUGUUAAUACCACUUAACCAUGACGUUAAUUACAGAAUAAGCACCGGCUAAAUCCGUGCCAGCAGCCGCGGUAAUACGGAUGGUGCAAGCGUUAAUCGGAAUUACUGGGCGUAAAGCGCGCGUAGGUGGCAUACUAAGUUAGAUGUGAAAUCCCGGGGCUUAACCUCGGAACUGCAUCUAAAACUGGUAAGCUAGAGUACUAGAGAGGAAAGUAGAAUUCUUAGUGUAGCGGUGGAAUGCGUA
rnacentral:rRNA from 1 species